rnacentral:rRNA from 1 species
UACGUAGGGUGCAAGCGUUGUUCGGAUUUACUGGGCGUAAAGCGCACGUAGGCGGAUAUUUAAGUCAGGGGUGAAAUCCCGGGGCUCAACCCCGGAACUGCCUUUGAUACUGGGUAUCUUUGAGUCCGGAAGAGGUGAGUGGAAUUCCGAGUGUAGAGGUGAAAUUCGUAGAUAUUCGGAGGAACACCAGUGGCGAAGGCGGCUCACUGGUCCGGUACUGACGCUGAGGUGCGAAAGCGUGGGGAGCAAACAGG